UACGUAGGGUGCAAGCGUUAUCCGGAUUUACUGGGUUUAAAGGGUGCGUAGGUGGGUCUGUAAGUCAGUGGUGAAAUCUCCGAGCUUAACUCGGAAACUGCCAUUGAUACUAUAGGUCUUGAAUCAUCUGGAGGUGAGCGGAAUAUGUCAUGUAGCGGUGAAAUGCUUAGAUAUGACACAGAACACCGAUUGCGAAGGCAGCUCACUAAAUUGUAACUGACGCUGAGGCACGAAAGCGUGGGGAUCAAACAGG
rnacentral:rRNA from 1 species